GCAGACGUUGAUGGAGGAUGAGCCAGAGAAAUACCAGUCGCAUUUCAGUGAGUACAUCAAGAAAGGAAUUGAGCCUGAUGGCAUUGAAGAGCUAUACAAGAAGGUCCACGCUGCCAUCAGAACGUCCACAGAUUGAAUGGUUCCCAACAAAACUUCUAAACUACUACAGCCUAUUUCCUUUAUUGCAGGAGUUACUGCACCUGUACGGAUUUGUCAUCGACAAUAAUCCAGAUGACUAUCUCAUGAGUACGAUGGCAAUUAAUAUAACUAAUCAACAUGCAGUUGGAUGAAAAAAUUAGCAAUCUAAUUAUAAUUUGGUACAGGUUCAUUAUCCAAUGGAAGCCUUUCAGAGUGUUCCAAUAGUUGAUUCCAAAGUGCAGCUUUUAGAAAUACAGAAGGCUGAAAUGAGGUGUCUCUUACCAAGAAGUCUGCUGGAUCAUGGAUCUUUUUCUGGAUCCCCUCUGCAUGAAGAAGACAGGAAUAAGAAAUCAAAUGGCCUAUUUUGCAAUGUCUUUUUUGUGCACCCUUAAAAUGACCAAAAACUGUUCUU